UGAACGCUGGCGGCGUGCUUAACACAUGCACGUCGAACGAAACACCUUAUUUGAUUUUCUUCGGAACUGAAGCUUUGGUGAUUGAGUGGCGGACGGGUGAGUAACGCGUGGGUAACCUGCCCUGUACAGGGGGAUAACAGUCAGAAAUGACUGCUAAUACCGCAUAAGACCACAGCACCGCAUGGUGCAGGGGUAAAAACUCCGGUGGUACAGGAUGGACCCGCGUCUGAUUAGCUGGUUGGUGAGGUAACGGCUCACCAAGGCGACGAUCAGUAGCCGGCUUGAGAGAGUGAACGGCCACAUUGGGACUGAGACACGGCCCAAACUCCUACGGGAAGCAGCAGUGGGGAAUAUUGCACAAUGGGGGAAACCCCGAUGCAGCGACGCCGCGUGAGUGAAGAAGUAUUUCGGUAUGUAAAGCUCUAUCAGCAGGGAAGAAAAUGACGGUACCUGACUAAGAAGCCCCGGCUAACUACGUG
rnacentral:rRNA from 1 species